UCACACGUGUUCAUUGCUUCUUGCACAAGAUCACGCGGUCGGUUGGAGACAGCAUGAGCGGAUGCAGUAGGGGUGUUGAUUGUCCAUCUAAACCCCCUGACUGAAGAAACUUUAAAGUUUCUACGUUGUUUUGCCUAUAAAGGCUCAAAUAUUGUUUCAGCCAUGAGGCCUCAGUUUUGCUGAAGAAUCAUUCUCUAACUGUUACUUGCUAACGGUGGAGAAUGUAAGCACUAUAGUCAUUAGAUUGAUGGCUUCAUCUUGGGGCACAUGUAUUCGGUGACUGGUUGCUUGUUCAUCGGCAGUGAUGCAACUUGAGUACAGCUAGUUUUAUUGCCAUGUUUGGAGAACAUCUGAAAUGAGUGGUGGUGUUUGUUAAACCAUGUGUUUGUAUUGCAUGUUUGCUAUGCAUUAAUUGUUACCAAUAAAGAAAGAUGCUUGUAAAAAAAAAAAA